rnacentral:lncRNA from 1 species
AUGAAAACCAUUCUCUGCAACCAGACUGUCCAUAUUCCAGAAAAUGUAGAUAUCACUUUGAAGGGAUACCCAGUAAUUGCGAAAGGCCCUAGAGGAACCCUGUGGAUGGACUUCAAUCACAUCAAUGUAGACCUCAGUCUCCUUGGAAAGAAAAAAAAUGAGGCUCCGGCACUGACAAAAAAUGGUGGGGAAACAGAAAGGAACUGGCUGCCGUUUGCACUAUUUGUAGUCAUGCACAGGACAUGGUCAAGGAUGUUGUGCUGGGCUUCCGCUGCAAGAUGAGCUCUGUGUGUACUCACUUCUCCAUCAAUGUCGUUAUCCGGAAGAAUAGGUCUCUGGUUGAGUUCUGAAAUUUCCUCGGUGAAAAAUAAAUCCACAGGGUUUGGCAGUGGCCAGGUGUUGCUUGUUCAGUAUCUCAAGCCCAGAAAGAUGAAUUAACCCUUGUAGGAAAUGACAUUGAUCUUGUUGCAAAUUCAGCUGCUUUGAUUCAGCCAGCCACGACAAUUAAAUAAAAACAAGGAUAUCAGAAAAUGUGUGGAUGGUAUUUACGUCUCUGAAAAAGGAACAGUUAAGCAGGCUGCUGAAUAA